CGACCAACGUAAUUGUCUUCCCAGUAAUCGUAAACAUUCUGGAGAUUGUCGGGUCUACUCUCGCUCAGUUCAUCGAAAGUGGACCCAACAUCUUCCGGAGGAACGAAACUCAGUGCAAUUAGCAUCUUUGAAUACACCCCCUUGUGUGUACAUAAUGCGCACAUACGCAUCCCACUCUCUUGGCCUCUCUCGCGAUUUUGUCGUGGCGAUUUUGUCGGCGCGCAUUUGUCGAAAACCAGUUAGCGAGUUUGUCGGCGUGAGUUUGUCCGUCGCGGUUUUGUCGCCGCUCAUAUGUCUAUCACGCUUUUGUCA